rnacentral:piRNA from 1 species
UGGAACUUGAAGUUGAAUUCAGAAGCUG